AUGGCCUGCACCCCUCUCCUGCUGCCCCUCCUCACUCUCUGCACAGGCUCCGCGGUCUCCUAUGAACUGACCCAGCCAACUUCACCAACUUCAGUGUCAGUGGCCUUGGGACAGACGGCCAAGAUCACCUGCUCGGGGGACCUCCUGGAUAAAAAAUAUACUGCGUGGUACCAGCAGAAACCAGGCCAGGCCCCUGUGACGGUCAUUUAUAAAGAUAGUGAGCGGCCCUCGGGGAUCCCUGACCGGUUCUCUGGCUCCAGCUCAGGCAAAACAGCCACCUUGACCAUCACCAGUGCCCAGACCGAGGAUGAGGCCGACUAUCACUGUCUGUCAGCGGACAGCAGUGAUGAUCCUCACGGUGACACGGACAGACAGGGAAGCGGGCUCUGCAUGGGGGGGUCCUCAGUGGACGAUGAGCUGGCAGAAGGGGGUGAUGGUUUCCUGGAUCAGAGCUCCUGA